rnacentral:tRNA from 1 species
GGGCCGAUAGCUCAGUUAGGCAGAGCAGCUGAGUGAAAAUCAGCAAGCCCCGGGUUCAAAUCCCGGUCGGUCGG